GCGCUGUGAAAGACGAUGGUAGUGAGAUGAUGAGUUUCCAUCUCCCUACCCCGUCUUUUCCGGCGUG
rfam:Clonorchis sinensis DNA, scaffold: 793, strain: Henan.